rnacentral:rRNA from 1 species
GACGAACGCUGGCGGCGUGCCUAAUACAUGCAAGUAGAACGCUGAAGAGAGGAGCUUUCUCUUCUUGGAUGAGUUGCGAACGGGUGAGUAACGCGUAGGUAACCUGCCUUGUAGCGGGGGAUAACUAUUGGAAACGAUAGCUAAUACCGCAUAACACUGGAUGACACAUGUCAUUUAUUUGAAAGGGGCAAUUGCUCCACUAAAAGAUGGACCUGCGUUUUAUUAGGUAGUAGGUGAGGUAAUGGCUCACCUAGGCGACGAUACAUAGCCGACCGGAGAGGGUGAUCGGCCACACUGGGACUGGGACACGGCCCAGACUCCUACGGGAGGCAGCAGUAGGGGAUCUUCGGCAAUGGGGGCAACCCUGACCGAGCAACGCCGCGGGAGGGAAGAAGGGUUUCGGAUCGUAAAGCUCUGUUGUAAGUCAAGAACGGGUGUGAGAGUGGAAAGUUCACACUGUGACGGUAGCUUACCAGAAAGGGACGGCUAACUACGUG